GAUGAACGCUAGCUACAGGCUUAACACAUGCAAGUCGAGGGGCAGCAUGAACUUAGCUUGCUAAGUUUGAUGGCGACCGGCGCACGGGUGAGUAACACGUAUCCAACCUGCCGAUGACUCGGGGAUAGCCUUUCGAAAGAAAGAUUAAUACCCGAUGGCAUAGUUCUUCCGCAUGGUAGAACUAUUAAAGAAUUUCGGUCAUCGAUGGGGAUGCGUUCCAUUAGGUUGUUGGCGGGGUAACGGCCCACCAAGCCUUCGAUGGAUAGGGGUUCUGAGAGGAAGGUCCCCCACAUUGGACCUGAGACACGGUCCAAACUCCUACGGGAGGCAGCAGUGAGGGAUAUUGGUCAAUGGACGAGAGUCUGAACCAGCCAAGUAGCGUGAAGGAUGACUGCCCUAUGGGUUGUAAACUUCUUUUAUACGGGAAUAAAGUGAGGCACGUGUGCCUUUUUGUAUGUACCGUAUGAAUAAGGAUCGGCUAACUCCGUG
rnacentral:rRNA from 1 species